UCGCGAAAACUUCGCAAUGGGGGCAACCCCGACGAGGGAAUUCCAAGUGCUAGCACUUUGUGUUAGCUGUUCUUCUGUCUAAAAAACAGGAGGAGUAAGGGGCGGGUAAGACGGGUGCCAGCCGCCGCGGUAAUACCCGCGCCCCAAGUGGUGGUCGAUAUUAUUGAGCCUAAAACGUCCGUAGCCGGUCUUCUAAAUCCUUGGGUAAAUCGGGCAGCUUAACUGUCCGAAGUCCGGGGAGACUGGGAGACUUGGGACCGGGAGAGGUCAGAGGUACUUCUGGGGUAGGGGUAAAAUCCUGUAAUCCUGGAAGGACCACCGGUGGCGAAGGCGCCUGACUAGAACGGAUCCGACGGUGAGGGACGAAGCCCUGGGGCGCAAACGG
rnacentral:rRNA from 1 species